rnacentral:rRNA from 1 species
UACGGAGGGUGCAAGCGUUAAUCGGAAUUACUGGGCGUAAAGCGUGCGCAGGCGGUUUGUUAAGUCCGUUGUGAAAGCCCCGAGCUCAACUUGGGAAUUGCAGUGGAUACUGGCAGGCUGGAGUACGGUAGAGGAAGGUGGAAUUCCCGGUGUAGCAGUGAAAUGCGUAGAUAUCGGGAGGAACACCAGUGGCGAAGGCGGCCUUCUGGAUCAACA